CUAAUGUGGUCAUCUGAAGACGGACACCAAAUGCACCACUGCUAACCACUCAACCUGAUCGAGCCUGUUCACAAGCCAGCACGGAGGAGGAGGAGGAGACAGUAGACUGUAGUGUGUAAGAGGUGCUCAAAACCUUCUUCAUUGUCUCGAUUCAUUUCCUACAUUUUCAGAUCAUAAUGUAGGACUGACCAUACUUUAAAAAAGACUACUUAUUUUUUUAUUUUGGGGGGAAUUGAGGUGAGAGGAGGAUCCAUUUAAAUUAUACGGUUACCAGGAAUAACGUUCAACAAAGAAAAAGUGUAAUCUCUCAAAAUUUGAAGAAUUGGACAACAGAAAUAGAAUAUCUUAGAACCAUGGCACUGUUGGAAACAGACUUUGAGGUGAAAGGCAGCAGCAUCAUCAGGGAGUGGAGUGGACAGGUCCAGCCAGCGCUGGUCGCCUCCUUGGUUUUCCUCUUCUGUCUGGAAGCCUGUCUGUGGGUCAGGAAUCUCAGACUCAAGAGAAGGCUACCAGGACCUUUUGCCUGGCCGGUGGUUGGCAAUGCCAUGCAGCUGGGGCAGAUGCCUCACAUCACCUUCUCCAAGCUGGCAAAGAAGUACGGCAACGUGUAUCAGAUAAGACUGGGCUGCAACAACAUAGUGGUGCUUAAUGGAGAUGCAUCAAUACGAGAAGCAUUGGUUCAACACAGCACAGAGUUUGCAGGCAGACCCAACUUUGUGUCUUUUCAGUCAGUGUCUGGUGGUAACAGCAUGACAUUCACUAACUACAGCAAACAGUGGAGGACGCACCGGAAGAUCGCUCAGACCACCAUUAGAGCUUUCUCCUCUGCCAACAGCCAGACCAAAAAAGCAUUUGAACAGCACGUUGUGGCAGAGGCCACUGAGCUCAUUGAAGCUUUCCUCAAACUCAAUGCUGAGGGACAGUUUUUCAACCCUGCUCAUGAACUGACAGUAGCUGCUGCUAAUGUAAUCUGUGCCCUGUGCUUUGGAAAACGUUAUGGACAUGAUGACAUUGAGUUUAGAACCCUUCUGGGCAGCGUGGACAAGUUUGGAGAGACGGUGGGGGCUGGCAGCUUGGUGGAUGUCAUGCCCUGGCUUCAGUAUUUCCCAAAUCCUGUCCGCAGGGUCUACCAGAGCUUCAAAGACCUCAAUAAAGAGUUUUUCACCUUUGUGAGAGACAAGGUUGUGGAGCACAGGGAGACAUUUGACCCUGAAGUGACCCGGGACAUGAGUGAUGCCAUUAUUGGGGUCAUUGACAAGGCGGACAGUGAUACCGGGUUGACGGAGGCCCACACAGAAGGGACAGUGUCUGAUCUGAUUGGUGCAGGACUGGAUACUGUGUCCACUUGCCUUCAUUGGAUGCUCCUUUUAUUGGUGAAAUACCCCAACAUCCAAACCAGACUGCAGGAGCAGAUUGACAAAGUGGUAGGCCGUAACAGGCUGCCCUGUAUUGAGGACAAAGCCAACCUGGCUUACCUAGAUGCCGUUAUCUAUGAGACCAUGCGCUACACCAGCUUCGUACCCCUCACCAUCCCCCACUCCACCACCUCAGAUGUUACCAUCGAAGGCUUCCACAUCCCCAAAGACACAGUGGUCUUCAUCAACCAGUGGUCUGUCAACCACGACCCUUUACAGUGGAAGGACCCUCAUCUCUUUGACCCUUCACGGUUUCUAGAUGAAAAUGGUGCCCUUGACAAGGAUCUGACCAGCAGUGUGAUGAUAUUCUCAGCAGGAAAGAGGCGAUGUAUCGGUGACCAGAUAGCCAAAGUGGAGGUCUUUUUAUUUUCUGCUAUUUUGAUUCACCAGUGCACAUUUGAAGAUAAUCCAAGUCAGGACCUCUCCUUAGACUGCUCCUAUGGGUUAACAUUGAAGCCCCUGAACUACAAGAUCUCUGCCAAGCUCAGAGGAGAAUUACUUACUGGGGCAUAAAAUCUUUUCAAACAGAGCGCCCAUUAAUGGAGUGCAGUAAUCCAAUGUAAUAUUAAAGGUAUGUACACAACAGUGAAUGUUUAUGCUUUAAUACUGUAGGUACCAACCAUAAGAUUUAUAUUCAUACUUUACUAUUAUUAUUAUCAUUAGCUAAUCUGAUUGUUGAUUGUAUAAAUCACUUUUUGUGACAGAUAACUGAAUCAUGUUUGUAUUUCUAUAAUUUUAUUGAACAGGCUAUCUAUGGGAAAUUCCUGACAUUUGGAAUCAAGAUAUGUUAUCCCUACAGAUUUAGGAAAAUAGAUAUUGUAGCAAUUCAUGUUACAAAAUAUCCCUUCUAAAUUCUCAUCAAAAUUGGAAACACAUGAUAUUUGAGUUUUAUGGACAAUUUCACUCCAUCAAAGUAUUAUGUCAAAGUAGAAUUUAAUCUACAAGAUAAAUUAAUACCAAAAUAACAUAGAGAUAUGUAUGCAGAUUGCUACACAAGUGAUAUGUAAGAAUUUAAAUUACUAUGAUGUGGCAGCCCAAAGUCACAGUUUGUAAUAAAUCUUAAGUAUCUUUUGUUAUAUAUGAGGGUAUUUAGUUUGGCCACCCCAAAUUGGCAUAUAAACUGGUGGUCAUGAAUCGAUUUUACUGCAAGUGCUUUGUUGUUGCAGUGAUGUGGAGAAAUCAUGUGUUGUGUUGCCCAUGUUGAGAUAUCUGAAGAAUUAUACAUCCUCUGACCCAUUCAGAUAUGUAUUCAUGAUGUUUGUAUCUGCAUAAGUACAUACUGUAAUAACAAUUAUACAUUUUCAGAAGUUUUGGUGCACUUACAUAAUUCCAUUGUAUUAUGAAGUAUUAUGUUCUGGUUGGGUCAUAAACAUGUAGUGUAUGAUAUCCAUAGUGCCUGAGCUCCAUGCAAUAAAUCCUAUACUCCUUCUCA